rnacentral:rRNA from 1 species
CAGUCGAACGAAGUCUUCGGACUUAGUGGCGCACGGGUGAGUAACAUGUGGGAAUCUACCUAGAGGUUUGGAAUAACUAUGGGAAACUGUAGCUAAUACUAAAUGUGUCCGCAAGGAGAAAGAUUUAUUGCCUUUAGAUGAGCCCGCACUAGAUUAGUUUGUUGGUAGGGUAAAGGCCUACCAAGGCUACGAUCUAUAGCUGAUUUGAGAGGAUGAUCAGCCACACUGGGACUGAGACACGGCCCAGACUCCUACGGGAGGCAGCAGUGGGGAAUAUUGGACAAUGGGGGAAACCCUGAUCCAGCAAUGUCGCGUGAGUGAAGAAGGCCUUCGGGUUGUAAAACUCUUUCAGCAGUGAAGAUAAUGACGGUAACUGAAGAAGAAGCACCGGCUAACUCCGUGCCAGCAGCCGCGGUAAUACGGAGGGUGCUAGCGUUGUUCGGAAUUACUGGGCGUAAAGAGCGCGUAGGCGGGCUAAAAAGUUAGACGUGAAAUCCCUAAGCUCAACUUAGGAACUGCGUUUAAAACUGUUGGUCUAGAAUUUGGGAGAGGGUAGUAGAAUUUCCAGUGUAGAGGUGAAAUUCGUAGAUAUUGGAAAGAAUACCAGUGGCGAAGGCGACUACCUGGACCAACAUUGACGCUAAGGCGCGAAAGCGUGGGUAGCAAACAGGAUUAGAUACCCUGGGUAGUCCACGCAGUAAACGAUGAGAGCUAGUC